UACGUAGGUGGCAAGCGUUGUCCGGAAUUACUGGGUGUAAAGGGAGCGUAGGCGGGGAUGCAAGUUGAAUGUAUAAACGGCCGGCUCAACCGGCCGAAGCGUUCAAAACUGCAUUUCUUGAGUGGAGUAGAGGCAGGCGGAAUUCCUAGUGUAGCGGUGAAAUGCGUAGAUAUUAGGAGGAACACCAGUGGCGAAGGCGGCCUGCUGGGCUCUAACUGACGCUGAGGCUCGAAAGCGUGGGUAGCAAA
rnacentral:rRNA from 1 species